AAUGAGACUGCCGGUAGACAACCGGAGGAAGGUGGGAUGACGUCAAAUCAUCAUGCCCCUUAUGACCUGGGCUACACACGUGCUACAAUGGUUGGUACAACGAGUUGCGAGUCGGUGACGGCGAGCUAAUCUCUUAAAGCCAAUCUCAGUUCGGAUUGUAGGCUGCAACUCGCCUACAUGAAGUCGGAAUCGCUAGUAAUCGCGGAUCAGCACGCCGCGGUGAAUACGUUCCCGGGCCUU
rnacentral:rRNA from 1 species